rnacentral:lncRNA from 10 species
AUUGAGACUGCUGUUUGUACAGCAAAAAGGUUGUGGAAUAAGAAUGAGCUACUAAGAAACAGGAAACUCUUGAAACCACCCGGUCCCAGCACUGCCUGUGUGGCUACCUGCCCGUGGGUCAGUGGCCCCCCUCCAGCGAUGGAUCCAGAAGCAAGCCCAAGCAGCUACCUAGUUCUCUUGGACUGGGGGCUGUCUCUGGUACUCUCUCUACUGGCAGGAUGCUGCCAACCCAAUGUGCAUGGGUUUAAUUGCAAUGGAGUAAUAGUCCUGGGGAGAUGUCCCUUAACUGUAGCCCUAUCACAAGGUAUCUGCCUGUAGCCCCAUGGUGGAUGUCUGUCUGCAGCCCCAUUGCAGGGUGUCUGGAUUGAUGAGUAUCCUAGGCACUGCCAACGCUGACUUCCUUCUCCUGACUGGUUCUGUAGCCCUGUGGUGGGGUGUCUGUAGCCCCAUUGUGGGGCAUCUGUUUGUGGCUCCACCAUGGGGUCUCUGUGUCUGUAGCCCCACUGAGGGGUGUCUGUUCAGCUCCUGUGAGGGUCUCAGUUGGCUCUUUCUAACUAGUAGGAAGAGUCCUGGUUCGGGAGACUUCUCCUCAAUCAGGAAGAUUUCAAGGAGGUUUCUCAGAUGGAGAAUAGGAGGACAGUUUGGAAGGGAUACUCUCGGAGUUCUUGGUUAGGGAUCUGAUUUGGAAGGCCUUCUGUCCAUCUCAUCUUUGUGUGUGUUUGUACAUGUGAAAGGGAUCUCAGAAGGGGUUGCUGAUGGAAGUCCAGCAGGCCCAACUCAGAGAACCCUCCUUAUUUGUCUGGUCACAUUCAAUGAGCCCUAAAGGAGGCUCAACAAGGUGACUAUCUCUUCUUUGCCUUGCCCAGAGACCCCAACUGUGAAUUACCAUUCGGAGGUCGUCCCUCCCCACCUAGAGUGGAUCAAAGACAACAGGGACCAACGGGAAGAAGUUUGAGCUUUGCUAGGUUGAUUAUGGGUGCUGAACGAGUGGCUUGAAACCCACAUCUAUAGCACAAGCAAGCAGGGGCAUCAGAAGCCACUCCGUUCUUCUGGAAGCUGCAGAGAAAGGGAACCCGGAAACCUGAUAUGCCAGCAAAAAGGGAACAAGACAAAGAUGCCAACUCUCACCAUGUCUAUUCAAUAUAGUACUGGAAGUCCUAGCCACAACAAUCAAGCAAGAAAAAGCAUGACAGACAUCCAGAUAGGAAAGAAGUAGAAGAAAAUUUUUAAAUGCUACUUACAAAGUUUGUUGUGAACCGUGUAACUUCCAUGUAAGGAAGUAAUGAAUGUAGUGAAGUGUUUGUAGUCAUGUUAAAC